rnacentral:rRNA from 1 species
CUACGGGUGGCUGCAGUGGGGAAUAUUGGACAAUGGGGGAAACCCUGAUCCAGCAAUGCCGCGUGUGUGAAGAAGGCCUGCGGGUUGUAAAGCACUUUCGGUUGGGAGGACUGCUUCUAGCACUAAUAUUGUUGGAAGUUGACGUUACCUUCAGAAGAAGCACCGGCUAACUCCGUGCCAGCAGCCGCGGUAAUACGGAGGGUGCACGCGUUAAUCGGAAUUACUGGGCGUAAAGCGCGCGUAGGCGGCUAGAUCAGUCGGGUGUGAAAGCCCCGGGCUUAACCUGGGAACUGCAUCCGAUACUGUCUAGCUUGAGUACAGGAGAGGAGAGUGGAAUUCCACAUGUAGCGGUGAAAUGCGUAGAUAUGUGGAGGGACACCAAUGGCGAAGGCAGCUCUCUGGCCUGAUACUGACGCUGAGGUGCGAAAGCGUGGGGAGCAAACAGGAUUAGAUACCCUAGUAGUC